rnacentral:tRNA from 1 species
GGAGAGUUGACCGAGUGGCCGAAGGUGACGGUCUUGAAAACCGUUGAGGCGUUUUAGCGUCUCCGUGGGUUCGAAUCCCACACUCUCCG